rnacentral:rRNA from 1 species
UACGUAGGUGGCAAGCGUUGUUCGGAAUUAUUGGGCGUAAAGGGCGCGUAGGCGGCAUGUUAAGUCGGAUGUGAAAGCCCUUGGCUUAACCGAGGAAGUGCAUCCGAAACUGAGCAGCUAGAGUACGAAAGAGGGUCGCGGAAUUCCCGGUGUAGAGGUGAAAUUCGUAGAUAUCGGGAGGAACACCGGUGGCGAAGGCGGCGACCUGGGUCGAGACUGACGCUGAGGCGCGAAAGCGUGGCGAGCAAACAGG